rnacentral:misc_RNA from 1 species
GAUGAAUAACGUAGCGAAAUGCGAUACUUGGUGUGAAUUGCAGAAUCCCGUGAACCAUCGAGUCUUUGAACGCAAGUUGCGCCCGAAGCCACUAGGCCGAGGGCACGCCUGCCUGGGCGUCACACGUCGUUGCCCCCCCCCCAUCUACUCCUUCGGGAUUGCGGGGGGCGGAUGAUGGCCUCCCGUGCGCCUAGCCGCGCGGUUGGCAUAAAUACCAAGUCCUCGGCGACGCACGCCACGACAAUCGGUGGUUGCGAAACCUCGGUUGCCCGUCGUGUGCGUUCGUCGCGCAUCGAGGGCUCGAAAAAAUGCUCGGCUCCGGCUCGGCUUUCAACGCGACCCCAGGUCAGGCGGGGUUACCCGCUGAAUUUAAGCAUAUCAAUAAGCGGAGGA